CUCAGACCAGAAUGCGAAGAUUUCAAGAGAAGAGAAGCAACUCCAAAUAUUUGUAAAAAGUGACACAUUUGUUUUAGAAAAGAAGUCAAAACCAUCAAAAACAAUUAAGAACAGAAAUGCCACAACUUUCAUGGGAAAACAACAAUAUGUAUCUCCCUCAUAAAGUUUAAAUGCAUAUUCUUCUGAAAGAACAUCUCACAACACGCCCACACACAAGAAAGACCAGAUUGCAGAUGUGGGAUAUGUCUAGAUAUGUCUAAUGGCAUAGAAAAAAUCCAUCUGAGGAGAGAUUUAAAAGAUUUGCACUGUGCAGUUUAAAGAAAAAAUUAGUA